rnacentral:rRNA from 1 species
ACCCGGGAAACUGGGGAUAAUACUCCAUAGGGUAGAGUGGCUGGAAUGCCUUCUACCCCAAAGUUCCGGCGCCUUAGGAUGGAUCUGCGGCCGAUUAGGUCGUUGUUGGGGUAACGGCCCAACAAGCCUGUAAUCGGUACGGGUUGUGGGAGCAAGAGCCCGGAGAUGGACUCUGAGACACGAGUCCAGGCCCUACGGGGCGCAGCAGGCGCGAAAACUUUACAAUGCGGGAAACCGUGAUAAGGGAACCCCGAGUGCCCGUACACGCGGGCUGUCCAGGUGUUUAAAACGCAUCUGAAGAAAGGGCCGGGCAAGACCGGUGCCAGCCGCCGCGGUAAUACCGGCGGCUCGAGUGGUGACCAUUUUUAUUGGGCUUAAAGCGUUCGUAGCUGGAUUGUUAAGUCUCUUGGGAAAUCUCACGGCUCAACCGUGAGGCGUCUAAGGGAUACUGGCAAUCUAGGGACCGGAAGAGGUGAGAGGUACUCCUGGGGUAGGAGUGAAAUCCUGUAAUCCUAGGGGGACCACCUGUGGCGAAGGCGUCUCACCAGGACGGCUCCGACAGUGAGGGACGAAAGCUGGGGGAGCAAACCGGAUUAGAUACCCGAGUAGUCCUGGCCGUAAACGCUGUGAUCUAGGUGUUGCACAUACUUCGAGUAUGUGCAGUGUCGAAGCGAAGGCAUUAAGAUCACCGCCUGGGAAGUACGGUCGCAAGACUGAAACUUAAAGGAAU